GAACGGCAGCGCGGGGCAACCUGGCGGCGAGUGGCGAACGGGUGAGUAAUAUAUCGGAACGUACCCAAGAGUGGGGGAUAACGUAGCGAAAGUUACGCUAAUACCGCAUACGAUCUAAGGAUGAAAGCAGGGGAUCUUCGGACCUUGUGCUCCUGGAGCGGCCGAUAUCUGAUUAGCUAGUUGGUGAGGUAAAGGCUCACCAAGGCCACGAUCAGUAGCUGGUCUGAGAGGACGACCAGCCACACUGGAACUGAGACACGGUCCAGACUCCUACGGGAGGCAGCAGUGGGGAAUUUUGGACAAUGGGCGAAAGCCUGAUCCAGCAAUGCCGCGUGAGUGAAGAAGGCCUUCGGGUUGUAAAGCUCUUUUGUCAGGGAAGAAACGGUGAGGGCUAAUAUCCUUCGCUAAUGACGGUACCUGAAGAAUAAGCACCGGCUAACUACGUGCCAGCAGCCGCGGUAAUACGUAGGGUGCAAGCGUUAAUCGGAAUUACUGGGCGUAAAGCGUGCGCAGGCGGUUUUGUAAGUCUGACGUGAAAUCCCCGGGCUCAACCUGGGAAUUGCGUUGGAGACUGCAAGGCUAGAAUCUGGCAGAGGGGGGUAGAAUUCCACGUGUAGCAGUGAAAUGCGU
rnacentral:rRNA from 2 species